rnacentral:misc_RNA from 1 species
AACAUCGCGCACCUGCGGGAACCUGCGGAAGGAUCAUUACAGAGUUGCAAAACUCCCCAAACCAUUGUGAACCUUACCUUCAAACGUUGCUUCGGCGGGCGGGCCACAGCGCCCCCCGGGCCCCCCCAGCGGGGGCGCCCGCCGGAGGAUACCCAAACUCUUGAUACUUUAUGGCCUCUCUGAGUCUUCUGUACUGAAUAAGUCAAAACUUUCAGCAACGGAUCUCAGAUCGGAAGAGCA